AACGAACGCUGGCGGCAUGCCUAACACAUGCAAGUCGAACGAGACCUUCGGGUCUAGUGGCGCACGGGUGCGUAACGCGUGGGAACCUGCCUUUAGGUUCGGAAUAACUCAGAGAAAUUUGAGCUAAUACCGGAUGAUGUCUUCGGACCAAAGAUUUAUCGCCUUUAGAUGGGCCCGCGUUGGAUUAGCUAGUUGGUGGGGUAAAGGCCUACCAAGGCGACGAUCCAUAGCUGGUCUGAGAGGAUGAUCAGCCACACUGGGACUGAGACACGGCUCAGACUCCUACGGGAGGCAGCAGUGGGGAAUAUUGGACAAUGGGCGAAAGCCUGAUCCAGCAAUGCCGCGUGAGUGAUGAAGGCCUUAGGGUUGUAAAGCUCUUUUACCCGAGAUGAUAAUGACAGUAUCGGGAGAAUAAGCUCCGGCUAACUCCGUG
rnacentral:rRNA from 1 species